CAACUCAACAUUCUUCAUGCCGGUGUCACUGAGUUUCUCUUUAGCAUUAAGCCAAUUAUGGGAGGGGGUUUGAUUACCCCACCCUUUCCACAGGACUUCAUGAUCCCUUGGCGUCAAAGUUGUACCUUAUUUACACCUGCUUCCCAAACAUGGAUGGAAGGUGGGGGAGGAGUAGCACAUGAAAAGCCAGCAGUGUUCCUCAGUCUGGCUUUUCAUUCUGCUAACUGCUCAUAAAGAUGCACAGUGUUAGAUGCUGUUUAAAAAAUGCGACUUGAUGUCUACAGCUAUAUUCUGGUCUUGUCAAGCAGGGGUGGAGAGAGGACUUCUACAGUAUCUCCAUUCAGCCAGUGUGGAGGCCCUAAAUCACCAAAACCCCAAGAGAGCCACGGGACCAGAACACUGUCCACAUUCAAUACACAGAGUGGCAGCGCAGGUCUCGAACCCAAACUCUCAUCACUCGCCCCAAUAUGACGCAGGGCCUGGAUUUGAACAAACUUGCUUUGACUCACUUCCCAUUUGGCCUGCUCAACAGGGUAUUGACACAGCUUUUCAGCGUCCGUUGAGGGGGGAGAGCAGUCUUUUUUACUGGGCUUCAUUUAAAUGAAUGGAGGCAUUAUGGAGAUGUCACAGCCACGGACCCUGCUGCUGUAAGCACUCAGUGACCAACUGACGGGUUACAGAGAGGGACCGUACCCUUUUACAAUCUCGGGACUCUCGGGAGACUUCAGGCACCUCAGUGGAGCCAGAGCUGCUCUCUCGGUCUGGGCACUAUUACAUAAUCACAAGCCGGAUGACUGAGUGUGUGAGGUUGUAGAGGUUUUCCCUAUUAAUCUGAACACUGUAAUAUUAUAUUCCAGUACAGAACAGCCUCCCAUGUAUAUUGUUUAUAUUUAUAACAGAUUCAUAUCAGAUAAACAUUGGUUUACAAAAUACAAACUGGGCAUAGAAUGAAACCUAAUACUUUUUGUAUAAGGCCAGUUCACCAUGCACCGUUGUAUCUAUACUUUUUCAUGAGAAAAUACAAUAAUUAUGAUAUAUUUGAUGAGAAUGGUGCCUAAUAGUAGCUCAGUUUUAUUGUAAAAUGCAUAAUUGGAGUAUACCAUGGUAAUUUUAAGGGUGGGACUGACCUGUCAUCAUAAUAUUUUACUCGUUCACAUGUCAGAUUAACUACCAAAUGUCAUACUAUCAAAUGUGAUACAUUAAUUUCUAAGGCCUCUGAAUUAUCAACAUUAUCAUAACUGAAUGAAAAACCUGUUGUACACAAUCUGCUUACAUGCCUUCUGUUGUCUGAUUGGUAUUUAUACUUGAUCAAAUGUAUUAAGUAAUACUUGAUAAUUUAUUAGCAAGGAAAAAUAAAAACCAUGUCUCAGGUUGUUUCAACCCUGUAUAAGUUUAUUUCUUCUGUUGAACACAAAAGAAAAUAUUUUGAAAAAAAAGUUGAUGAUCCCCUUUGACUUCCAUAGUAUUUUUUUCUGUGGAAGUCAAUGAGGACCAUCAACUGUUUGUUUACCCAUAUUCUCCAAAAUAUCUUCUUUUCAGUUUAACAGAAAAACGAAACUCAUACAGGUUUCGAAUAACUUGAGGGUGAGUAAAUGGACAGAAUUUUCAUUUUUGGGUGAACUGUCCCUUUAAGUCUAUUAUAUUUGAUUAUCCAUUCAUUUUUUUCUUUCUUUUAAAUGUAAGUGUCAAUAUGAUAUGAAUAAUGCUUAUUUGUACAUCUUUUAAUCAUCAUUGUAUUACACUGCAUUACAGUAAGCAUUUAAUUAUCAUCAUAUCAUGAGAUAUAGAGUGACAACUGAUAUUUAUAUGCAUUUAUAUUAAUUUAUAUGCAUUUUUCAUUAAGUAGUCUGCUAAUAGUGUUUUAAAAAUAUCUUUCAUCUACAUUACAAGCUCAGAAUUUCAUCCUCCCAUUAGGCCAUAUGAAUAACAAAUACACCAAAUUGCAUAUUCUUGGAUGUGUUUUUACUCCUUGUUGUGUGUGACUAUGAGCUCCAUGUUCUCACUAUAUAGACCUUAAAAUUGCGAUGUAUAAAAUAUAAUGCA